AGUGAACGCUGGCGGUAGGCCUAACACAUGCAAGUCGAACGGCAGCACAGUAAGAGCUUGCUCUUACGGGUGGCGAGUGGCGGACGGGUGAGGAAUACAUCGGAAUCUACUUUUUCGUGGGGGAUAACGUAGGGAAACUUACGCUAAUACCGCAUACGACCUACGGGUGAAAGCAGGGGAUCUUCGGACCUUGCGCGAUUGAAUGAGCCGAUGUCGGAUUAGCUAGUUGGCGGGGUAAAGGCCCACCAAGGCGACGAUCCGUAGCUGGUCUGAGAGGAUGAUCAGCCACACUGGAACUGAGACACGGUCCAGACUCCUACGGGAGGAAGCAGUGGGGAAUAUUGGACGAUGGGCGAAAGCCUGAUCCAGCUAUACCGCGUGGGUGAAGAAGGCCUUCGGGUUGUAAAGCCCUUUUGUUGGGAAAGAAAAGCAGCAGGUUAAUACCCCGCUGUUCUGACGGUACCCAAAGAAUAAGCACCGGCUAACUUCGUG
rnacentral:rRNA from 1 species